rnacentral:rRNA from 1 species
UACGGGGGGAGCAAGCGUUGUUCGGAUUUACUGGGCGUAAAGGGCGCGUAGGCGGCCACCGCAAGUCGACUGUGAAAUCUCCGGGCUUAACUCGGAAAGGUCAGCCGAUACUGCGGGGCUAGAGUGCAGAAGGGGCAACUGGAAUUCUCGGUGUAGCGGUGAAAUGCGUAGAUAUCGAGAGGAACACCUGCGGCGAAGGCGGGUUGCUGGGCUGACACUGACGCUGAUGCGCGAAGGCCAGGGGAGCGAACGGG